AGAGACAUUUGGGUUUUUCUUAAUAAAAUAUUUGAUGAGGUACUUACUAAAAUGAUUUUCUAAAAUAACCAUAUUGAUAAUCAAAUUGAUUAAUUUGAAAAACUUAAUGAGCAAUGAUAUCAUGCAACCGUUGUAUAAUAAUAUGAUGUAACAAAGUUAAAAACCCAUCUUAUGACAAUUUGUUUGAUCCAAAAUUUGAAAUAUACACUCUUUUCAUUCUAAUGAACAAUCACAAAAAAAGAAAAAAUUGAAAACACAACCUAAAAAGUAUUUUUUUAUUC
rnacentral:lncRNA from 1 species